AUAUAUAUAGUAUAAAAAAAAUAUAUUUAAUUUCCAAUUAAAAGAUUUAAUUAAAAUAUAUAUA
rnacentral:tRNA from 1 species